AACGAACGCUGGCGGCAUGCCUAACACACGCAAGUCGAACGAGACCUUCGGGUCUAGUGGCGCACGGGUGCGUAACGCGUGGGAACCUGCCCUUAGGUUCGGAAUAACUCCCCGAAAGGGGUGCUAAUACCGGAUAAUGUCUUCGGACCAAAGAUUUAUCGCCUUUGGAUGGGCCCGCGUUGGGUUAGCUAGUUGGUAGGGUAAAAGCCUACCAAGGCGACGAUCCAUAGCUGGUCUGAGAGGAUGAUCAGCCACACUGGGACUGAGACACGGCCCAGACUCCUACGGGAGGCAGCAGUGGGGAAUAUUGGACAAUGGGCGAAAGCCUGAUCCAGCAAUGCCGCGUGAGUGAUGAAGGCCUUAGGGUUGUAAAGCUCUUUUACCCGGGAUGAUAAUGACAGUACCGGGAGAAUAAGCUCCGGCUAACUCCGUG
rnacentral:rRNA from 1 species